UCUAGGCUGGCCUGAAACUCCUGGGCUCAAGUGAUCCUCCUACCUCAGCCUCCCUAAUAGUUGGGGCUAUAAGCACAGGUUGCUGUGCUGAGUUCUUCAGUGGACUGAUUUGAUACUGUAAGGGAAACCUAUACAUGUUCAACACAAGGUUAGGAAAUAGUUCUUCCUGAUUUGAAUAUUAGGUUUCUGGAAUGCCAACAGAGCAGAUGUGUCAAGAUUUUCCAAGACAGAGGCACCAUACGUCUGGCAGUACAUAUUCAUAAAUAUGGUAUGAGGGCCAAAAAUAUAAACAUGUAUGUUUGUCUAGUGAAAAAUAGCAUCAUUUGUUCAUUUGCUCAAUUCUCUGACAUCUUUCUAAUCUUGGACCUGUUAACCAAGAUUUCCCAGUGAUACGUAGAAGGCAGAAAGGGUGGAUGUGUGUGUCUGGGAUGGGUAAAUCUGGUAUAUCCUAUUCUAAUAAAUCCUGGUAUCUGAAACAAAAGCCAAGUGGCUUUGGGGUUCGAGUGUGUGGCUCAAUGCUAGAGCAUAUGCUUAGCAUGCAAGAGGCCCUGCAUUCAACCCCAGCACCAAAACCAAACCCAAGUGGGUUGGACUGCAGGGGUCAUGUGAACAGAGUCAAGGUACAGAAACCAGCACCAAACCAAGUCAUUCUAUUCUCCUAACUUUAAGAAACUCUUAAGGGAGUAUAAAGGAUCCUCCAGAUCUCUGCCUUCUUCAGGAUGGUGUCUAUGGGGUGCCUAAUCAAUCAGGCACUUCAAAAGUAGGACCUUGUUGUCUUGGUGCAGUAGCCAAAAUGCAGUGGACUUUAGGACCUUGGCAAAAAAGGCAUCUGUUCAUAAAAGAAAAGCAGAAAAGUAAAGUUAGUUCCUGCUCAGGAUCAAAUAGUCUGGGGUCUGGGGAGAAAAAAGCCCUGGGACACAGAUCCUGCCACCAUGAUAUAAAUCUGCCAAUCCUGCCGGAAGCUGUAUGCCCUACAAAUAUUAUUUCCUUUCCCUCAGCCUCUUCAUCUGACGGUGGGAAGCCUUGUUUCAGUCUAUGCACUUUUUGCCAGGGUCUCACUAAAUUGCCUAGGCUGGCUUCAAACUUGAGAUAUUCCUGCCUCAGCCUUCUGGGUCCCUGGGACUACAGUGAGGACCAUCCUGUGCUGCUCUGGCUCUUCUUUUAAAGGAAACAUGAUGAAGGGUGGAUCUGGGAGGUUCUUAUUUCUUCUACCUCAUGAGGACCAGCACCAGGUUCAGUGACAUCUGACUACAUUAAUAAGAAGGCAUGCUACUCAUACUCCUGCAAGAAGAGGCAUGAACAGAGUCUGAAACCAAAGCUUCUUCCCAGCAGUCUAGAUUAGGUGCCUAGAGCUACAGUUCCCAAAAUGCAGAUCAUGUUACCCGACAGUCUAAUUAAUAUGGCAGAUUCCCAGACCCACCACUCAGAUGCUCAGAGUCAAGGCUCCAGACAUUUUGGACCAAAUGUGAAAAACAUUCAAUAAUCCAGGGACAGUGGCAAAUAUCUAUAGUUUGGAGCCAUCUUGGGCAUCAUAGUGAGACCCCAUCUCUUAAAAAAAAAAGAAAAGAAAAACUGUUGUCGAUGAUUCUCUGAGCCAGAUUCUUGGUCACCUGAUUGUAUGGUGCAGAGGAUGGACCAAAAAAUAGGAACCCAAGCUCCAUGAACUGCAGCUACAGCUACAUAGUCAACCCAACCUGUAGGAUGGGAAAAUGCUAAGGGUCAUGUAGCAACUUUUUUUUUAACAUUGUCUUUGAAAAUGAUGGGACAUAUGCAUAUAUAUACACAUUCAUGCAAGCACAUUCAGACAUGUAUUAUAAAUAAGAAUGCAGAAGCACAUUAAUAGGUCAGGCAUGGUGGCGCAUGCCUGUAAUCCCAGUGACUUGGGACGCUGAGGCAGGAGAGUCAAAAGUUUGAGACCAGCCUCAGCAAUUUAGCAACUUAGUGAGACCCUGUCUCAAAAUUUAAAAAUAAAAUAAAAAGGGCUGGGAUGUGGCUCAGUGGUUAAGUGCCCCUGGGUUCAAUCCCUGGUACAAAAAAAUACUUAUUUUAAAAAAGUGCACUAACUCUUCAUUUUUUGUAAUGUGAAUGUGAAGUAGUUUUAAGUAUUAAGCCAGGUGUGGUGGGUACAUAUCUGUAAUCUCAGCAGCUCAGGAGGCUGAGGCAGGAGGAUCCAGAGUUCAAAGCCAACCUCAGCAACUUAGCGAGGCCCCAAGCAACUCAGCGAAACCCAGU